UUCACUUGCUUUGGUAACUAUACAUAUUGGAAAGGUACAAAUAAUAUUAACAGGAUCCCUGCACAAAGAUGAUAUGCAAAUUUUGAAGUAUUUCAUAUUCUU